rnacentral:rRNA from 1 species
AUUGAACGCUGGCGGCAGGCCUAACACAUGCAAGUCGAGCGAGCGGCGGACGGGUGAGUAAUGUAUGGGGACUGCCCGAUAGAGGGUGAUAACUACUGGAAACGGUGGCUAAUACCGCAUACUACCGGCUAACCCAUAUGGUAUUAGCUAGUAGGUUGGGUAAAGGCUCACCUAGGCGACGAUCUCUAGCUGGUCUGAGAGGAUAAUCAGCCACACUGCGGCGGAGACACGGCCCAGACGCCUACGGAGGCAGCAGUGGGGAAUAGAGGACAAUGGUCGCAAGGCUGAUGCAGGCAUGCCGCGUGAAUGAAGAAGGCCUUAGGGUUGUAAGGUACUUUCUGUAGCGAGGCGUUAACUACAGAAGAAGCACCGGCUAACUCCGUGCCAGCAGCGGCGGUAAUAC